GGGCCCGCACAAGCGGUGGAGCAUGUGGUUUAAUUCGAUGCAACGCGAAGAACCUUACCUACUCUUGACAUCUACAGGAUCCUGCGGAGACGCAGGUGUGCCUUCGGGAGCUCUGAGACAGGUGCUGCAUGGCUGUCGUCAGCUCGUGUUGUGAAAUGUUGGUUAAGUCCCGCAACGAGCGCAACCCUUAUCCUUGUUUGCCAGCACGUAAUGGUGGGAACUCCAGGGAGACUGCCGGUGAUAAACCGGAGGAAGGUGGGGACGACGUCAAGUCAUCAUGGCCCUUACGAGUAGGGCUACACACGUGCUACAAUGGCGCAUACAGAGGGCAGCAAGUCGGAAUCGCUAG
rnacentral:rRNA from 1 species